rnacentral:rRNA from 1 species
GACGAACGCUGGCGGCGUGCUUAACACAUGCAAGUCGAACGGAAAGGCCCUGCUUUUGUGGGGUGCUCGAGUGGCGAACGGGUGAGUAACACGUGAGUAACCUGCCCUUGACUUUGGGAUAACUUCAGGAAACUGGGGCUAAUACCGGAUAGGAGCUCCUGCUGCAUGGUGGGGGUUGGAAAGUUUCGGCGGUUGGGGCUGGACUCGCGGCUUAUCAGCUUGUUGGUGGGGUAGUGGCUUACCAAGGCUUUGACGGGUAGCCGGCCUGGGAGGGUGACCGGCCACAAUGGGACUGAGAUACGGCGCAGACUCCUACGGGAGGCAGCAGUGGGGAAUAUUGCACAAUGGGCGGAAGCCUGAUGCAGCAACGCCGCGUGCGGGAUGACGGCCUUCGGGUUGUAAACCGCUUUCGCCUGUGACGAAGCGUGAGUGACGGUAAUGGGUAAAGAAGCACCGGCUAACUACGUG